GGCCUCAUAGUUCAAGGGAUAGAACGGAAGUUUCCUAAACUUCAGAUUCUGGUUCGAGUCCAGGUGAGGCUACAA
rnacentral:tRNA from 1 species